rnacentral:rRNA from 1 species
AUACGGAGGGUGCAAGCGUUAUUCGGAAUCACUGGGCGUAAAGGACGCGUAGGCGGGUUAGCAAGUCAGAUGUGAAAUCCUACAGCUUAACUGUAGAACUGCAUUUGAAACUGCUAACCUAGAGUAUGGGUGGGGGAGAUGGAAUUAGUGGUGUAGGGGUAAAAUCCGUAGAUAUCACUAGGAAUACCGAAAGCGAAGGCGAUCUCCUGGAACAUAACUGACGCUAAGGCGUGAAAGCGUGGGGAGCAAACAGGAUUAGAAACCCUAGUAGUCC